rnacentral:rRNA from 1 species
GACGAACGCUGGCGGCGUGCUUAACACAUGCAAGUCGAACGGAAAGGCCCUGCUUUUGUGGGGUGCUCGAGUGGCGAACGGGUGAGUAACACGUGAGUAACCUGCCCUUGACUUUGGGAUAACUUCAGGAAACUGGGGCUAAUACCGGAUAGGAGCUCCUGCUGCAUGGUGGGGGUUGGAAAGUUUCGGCGGUUGGGGAUGGACUCGCGGCUUAUCAGCUUGUUGGUGGGGUAGUGGCUUACCAAGGCUUUGACGGGUAGCCGGCCUGAGAGGGUGACCGGCCACAUUGGGACUGAGAUACGGCCCAGACUCCUACGGGAGGCAGCAGUGGGGAAUAUUGCACAAUGGGCGGAAGCCUGAUGCAGCAACGCCGCGUGCGGGAUGACGGCCUUCGGGUUGUAAACCGCUUUCGCCUGUGACGAAGCGUGAGUGACGGUAAUGGGUAAAGAAGCACCGGCUAACUACGUGCCAGCAGCCGCGGUGAUACGUAGGGUGCGAGCGUUGUCCGGAUUUAUUGGGCGUAAAGGGCUCGUAGGUGGUUGAUCGCGUCGGAAUGUAAUCUUGGGGCUUAACCCUGAGCGUGCUUUCGAUACGGGUUGACUUGAGGAAGGUAGGGGAGAAUGGAAUUCCUGGUGGAGCGGUGGAAUGCGCAGAUAUCAGGAGGAACACCAGUGGCGAAGGCGGUUCUCUGGGCCUUUCCUGACGCUGAGGAGCGAAAGCGUGGGGAGCGAACAGGCUUAGAUACCCUGGUAGUCCACGCUGUAAACGGUGGGUACUAGGUGUGGGGUCCAUUCCACGGGUUCCGUGCCGUAGCUAACGCUUUAAGUACCCCGCCUGGGGAGUACGGCCGCAAGGCUAAAACUCAAAGGAAUUGACGGGGCCCCGCACAAGCGGCGGAGCAUGCGGAUUAAUUCGAUGCAACGCGUAGAACCUUACCUGGGUUUGACAUGGAUCGGGAGUGCUCAGAGAUGGGUGUGCCUCUUUUGGGGUCGGUUCACAGGUGGUGCAUGGCUGUCGUCAGCUCGUGUCGUGAGAUGUUGGGUUAAGUCCCGCAACGAGCGCAACCCUUGUUCACUGUUGCCAGCACGUUAUGGUGGGGACUCAGUGGAGACCGCCGGGGUCAACUCGGAGGAAGGUGGGGAUGACGUCAAGUCAUCAUGCCCCUUAUGUCCAGGGCUUCACGCAUGCUACAAUGGCUGGUACAGAGAGUGGCGAGCCUGUGAGGGUGAGCGAAUCUCGGAAAGCCGGUCUCAGUUCGGAUUGGGGUCUGCAACUCGACCUCAUGAAGUCGGAGUCGCUAGUAAUCGCAGAUCAGCAACGCUGCGGUGAAUACGUUCCUGGGGCU